AAAGAGCAACCUGAACAUACACUUGAUAAUUCAUACAGGACAAAAUGCAUUUGAAUGUUCUGAAUGUGGCCAAAGAUUUGGACAAAAGCGUGACCUGAACAGACACUUGAUAAUUCAUACAGGAUUAAAAGCAUUUGAAUGUUCUGAAUGUAGUCUAAGAUUUGGACAAAAGAGCAACCUGAACAGACACUUGAUAAUUCAU